CCGAAGAAUGGAGAGUCUAUUAUUUUAAAAGCAUAGGAACAAUUUAGUUAUUACAUAGCAUAGGGAUAGACCGCAUUGCGGUUUUCCCUAAUUUGUCUUUAAUAAAAACUGGUAAAAUAAAAGCAGGAGGUGUUUUCAAGUACAUAAUGUUAUCUUCCUCCGUUGAUAUAUGUUGUCUGGUGCUUCCAUACUUGGCCAAGGUGUCUGCUACAGUGUUGCCUUCUCGGUACACAUGCGUCAUUUCUGCCACUCCAAUAGCAUCAAGAAGAAAACUGCAGUCAUGAAGAAGAUGUGGGUAGAGAAGUUGUUCGUCUUUAAAUAAGUUACAUAAUACCUGUGAAUUUGUUUCCACUACAGUGGGAAAGAGAUUUUUUGUGAAGGAUAGAUCUAGUUCAAUCAUUAGUGCUAGCAGUUCAGUGUGGAGAGCGUCUGUUGUAGCUUCCUUGUGCGCAAAUCCUACUAUCCAAUUGUCAUAUAUUAUGGUCUCUGAUGAUUACACCAGUACCACUAUUUUGAUUAUUUUGAUCAUAAGCUCUAUCAAUGUUUAGCUUGUAAUGGUUAGUAGGUGGGUGCCAUCUUAUUGGUAUGUGAAACUUAGGUUUUGGGUUCGCAGUGAUUUGUGCGAUUGAGAUGAACUCAGCAACUUGGGUCUUAAGUUUGGUUUGGAAAGUGAUUGAGGUUGUGUGGUAAAAUAGGUUAGAGUUCCUAUUAAGCCAAGUGUUCCACAGUAUGAAAGGUAUUAAAGUGGAGUUUGGGGUUUUGAUGGAGGCAUUUGUUGUGUUGGUGAUAGUGUCUUUGAUACACAUAUCCUUUAACCAGUGGUCAAAGUUGUGUGUUUGUGGUUUUUGGAGAUUGAACAAAGUCCAUAAGUGGUAUGAAUUUUUUCACGAGAAGAAGAUGUGGUAUAUGUCUUCUGCUUCUGUCGGACAGAAUUGGCAAAGGUUACUUUGGAGUAUAUUUGUUUUUAAUAGGAAUUCUUUGGUAGGUAACUUGUGGUGCACAAGUAACUACAUGAAGUAUUUCAGCUUGUUCAAAUACUUGAGUUGCUAGAUCCAAGUGUUAAUGGUGGUAAUUGGUGGCAUUAUUAGGUUAUUGAUUUGUCGUUGUAGUAGGUAGGUUGAAUUUGUGGUAAAGUUUUCAAGGGGUUGUUUGGUUCCAGAGGGAUUGAUCAGGUUUUUGUAAGAAAGGGAUGUAGAUCUUGUUGCUUUUGUGUACGGUAUCAGGGUGUAGUGGUAUGAAAGAGCAGGUUUUGCGUCGAGUGUGUCUACUCGUCUAUGUUGGACGUAUUUUGCUUGCAGAAGUUUUACCCAGAGUGAUUGAUUGUUCUUAUGGAAACGCCAAAGUAGUCCUGCUAGCGUUGCAUAAUUCUUUUCACUGGUUUUAUAAAGCCCUAGUCCUCCGAGCUCUUUCGGAGUAGUUAUAGUCUCCCAAUUAACAAGGUGGACUUUUCUUUUUUCUGUAGCUGAACCCCACAGGAAGUUUCGUUGGAUACGAUCUAUGUGGUUCCUAGUAGAGAUUGGCAGUAGGUUAUUUUGCAUGGAAUAGUUUGGAAUUGUGGCUAGUAUAGAGUGUAUGAGGGUAGUUCUACAUGCCAUGUUGAGAGUUUUGCUUUCCAUCCUGUGAGCUUGUUAUUCAUUUUAUUAAUUAUGAAUUGAUAGUCUUUGCCUUUGGGGGAAUUGUUAGUUAGGUGGAAUCCCAGGAAUUUACCAAAGUUGGUAGCCUUGCGGAUGUUUAGGGCACUGGUAAGGCACUCUUGAGUGGCGAGCGACACAUUUUUGGAGAAAAUAAGUUUUGAUUUAGAGAAAUUAAUUUUUUGCCCUGAUUGGAGGUGGAGAGAGUUGAAUAUAUUAAUGAUAGUGUUGGCAUUGUGUAGGUCAGCACGAGCGAAUAGUAUAAGGUCAUCCGCAAAUAGCAGGUGACACUACAAGAAAGUAUGGAAUUUGCAACAACAUUUUAGUAACAACUGAAAUAUUAUUGGCUAAAAUGGAUAAAUGGGAACAACCCGGUAAAUUUGUUGCUGUAGCAUAGACUUUUUGGCAACAAAACUUUAUUGUUGGCAAACGUGUUAAUGUUGUCGCCAUAUUCUAUGGUUUAAAUAAUAAACUUUAAAUUUUUAAAAAUGGCCACUAAGUUAUGGCAACAACUAUGGUAUUGUUGCUGAAGUUUAAUAAAUGGCAACAACUAAUUUUUGGUGUUACAAAAAAUAGAACUUUUAACAUAAUAAAUUUAAAAUAUAAACAGAAUUGGCAACAAUGAAAUCUAUUUGUUGGUAUACAUAUUAUUAUGCCAAUAAGGUGCGUGGGUUGUGGCCUAAAACAUUCUAAUUUUCCGCCAAAAUGAAACGCGGCAAACUUUCGCUCUUUAAUAACUUUUCCCAAAAUUUUAGUGCACUCUCUAAUAACCAUUCUGCCUAGGGUUUUUAUUAUCAGCUAUUCUUGAACGAGCUCCUUCUCUGUUGCGUCCUCCUUGUUGCAUCGUAUUGUUGCUGAUUGGAGAAGAACCGGUAAGAACUCUAUCUUCAAUUACUUUACCCGAUUAUUGCUUCACCGAAUUAUGAAAAUACCGUUUUGAUUGCCUUUAUUGUUGAAGUACUUAGUUGGGUAUGGUGGCAAUCUUAAAUUGUGAUAUUCCAGAAUACUAUAUAUAACUUUUCUCCUCUAAUUUCUUAUAAGAAAGAAACUUUGCAUAAAAAAUGUUUUUUGUUGGGAUUGUUUGAGAAAUCCUAUUAAGAUUGAAGAAGCAUCUAAAUAUUCCACACUAGAUAAACUGAAGCAACAGUUCCUUUUUCUUCCUGCUAAGUAUAAGGUUAGUUCUUUAGUGAAAAGUUUCUCUUUUAAGUUUGUUGGGAGAAAGCAAGCCAAGUGGAAAGCAUUGUAUCCAGCAAUUGGCUUAUAAUGAUGUUCCAUGUAAAUUACAUCUUGUUGAUGACAAUCGAUGAAUUUGAAUAUAUAUUCAUAAGCGCCGAAGGUAUUCAGAGAAAGUGUAUUAUUACUACAUAACACUAUUUGUGUUGAUGUGCUCUCAUAAUAAUCAUAAUUAUAUGGCUUAAAGAUGUGGGAGUUUUGACAUUGUGACACCCCUAGAAUAUGUUUUGAAAGUCUUAACAUGUUUGGCAUAUUGGAUAUAGGGAAUUGUAACAUAUUGGCGUGAUAGUCUAACAAUACACCUGCAGAUAAAAAGAUUUUCUAAAAGUGAAAGGAGGUGUUUGUAAGAGUGACAUGUAGCUAUAAACUCUUAGUUGAGAUUUUGUAGGACUAGUACUUAAUGUGAAAAGUAGCCAGGUGUAAGCAAGAAACUUUCUUGCUAAGAAAUAAGAAUGUUAAAAAGUGGUGAUUAUUAUUAAAAGAUUAGGAAAAUAGAGGCCUUAGUUGAGAGAGCACUUACAACAUUUUAUUAUGAUGGGACCUAAUAGUCUGGUGGGGUAGUAGUAUUUUCUGGUUACACCUAAUAGUCUGGAGGAGAAGAAAUAGUUCUUGUUUUAAGUCAACUGAUUCAAAGUAACAUAAUCCAACUGACGCAAAGUUCAGACCUCAUAGAGGGCUUAUCGCAGUUAAGACUGCACCGACAUGUGCUGUUAAAAAACCUAUUUUCGCACAUUUGAUCUCUUUUCUCUAAUAAGUAUGCAAAUAAUCAAGCAAGUCAUUGUAUUCGUGAUCUCUGGUAUGGGGUUUCUUAAUUAAUUCUUGGUUUUGGUUCUUGACUUUUAUGGACUUUUUAUUCUCUGUUUCAACUUAGUGUGUAUCCAAAUUAAUGCUUUGUGGUUUUUGAUAUAUUUUUUUAAAUCUUUUCCUUUGGUUCAAAUUUUGAUCGUUUUGCUAUAUGAAGUUUGUGCAUGCAUCUUAAUGUUUCUAAAUUAAACAUAUCUUGUUAUUAGUUUGUUUCUGGUUAAGUUCAGUUUGACAUUAUACUGAAAGAUUUUGACUGCAAAUUGGACAAUCUUGCAAUAGUUAGUGGUGUUGAAUCUGGUAAGCUAAUUCAUUCGUGGGAUUCUACUUGUUGCUAUUACUUCUUUUCAUCUUUUCUUUAGCUCGAGAGUCUAUCGGAAACAACCUCUCUAUCCUUCCAGUGUAGGGGUAAAACUGCGUACAUCUUACUCUCCCCAGAUCCAAAGCCUUAUGUUUCUAAGCAUUUCUCAAUCAUUUGUUUCUGAUAUAAUAGACAAUAAAAAAUAGAAAGAAGGUUAAUCAUAUAGUUUUACUUUUUUAUUUUAUUGUAGGUAAUUAGAUGAUGGAUAAGAGCUGGAUAUUCAUCAAGAAUAGGACGUUACCUCAAUACUUGAAUGGUGUGGAAUAUUUUUUAAACUUUGCAUUUUCUAAUCCUAAUGUUGGUGUAAGAAUCCAAUGCCCAUGUAUUAAGUGUAAUAAUGUUCUUUGGAAAACACGAGAAGAAGUGAAGACAGAUUUACUUAGGCGAGGAAUUGAUUCAACAUAUGAUAGGUGGAUUUAUCAUGGUGAGCUGGAUUCAUCUUCGGAUGAUGGAACAAAUGCUAGUAUAAAUUCAGAUAUAGGAAAUGAUGAUGCUUCCACUUUUGAAAUGUUACAUGACUUGUAUCAUGGUAUUCCCACUAAUAGUCAUGAGUUUGAUGAGAACAAUGAGUUUAGUUGCGAAGAGCCUAAUACAUAAGCUAAAAUUUUCUAUAGGUUAUUAAAAGAUGCAGAGCAAAAGCUAUAUCCUGAUUGUGAAAAGUUCUCCAAACUCUCUUUUGUAAUGCGUCUUUUUCAAAUGAAGUGUCUACAUGGCUGGAGUAAUACCUCAUUUGACUCUUUAUUGAAAUUAUUGAGUGAUGUUUUACCCAAAGGAAAUGUACUCCCGAAUUCUAUCUAUGAAGUUCAAAAGAUAAUUAAAGGUUUGGGUCUAGAUUAUGUGAAGAUAGAUGCAUGUGUUAAUAAUUACAUUUUAUAUAGAAAGGAAUAUGCGAAUCUUGAGCAAUGCCCUAAAUGUGGUAAAAAAAGAUAGAUGAUAAAAAAAGGAGAAGAUACUAAUGAAGAUGUUGCUUUAGGAAAUUCGAAUAAGAGAAAUAAAGGAAUUUCAAGAAAGAUUCUUAGAUAUUUUCCUAUAAUACCAAGAUUACAACGAUUGUUUAUGACAAAACGUACCGCUGAAGAUAUGAGAUGGUAUAAAAAUAAGCGAGCCGAUGAUGGAGUUUUACGACAUCCAGCUGACUCAUUGGCGUGGAAAAGUUUUGAUGAAAAGUAUCCAAGUUUUGCUUCAGAUCCACGUAAUAUAAGGCUUGGGCUUGCUUCAGAUGGAUUUAAUCCUUUUGGUUCAAUGAGUAAUGCUUAUAGCAUGUGGCCAGUAAUCUUGAUCCCAUAUAAUCUCCCCCCAUGGUUAUGUAUGAAACAAUCAAAUCUUUUGUUGUCUUUGCUUAUUCCUGGACCAAAAGGCCCUGGUAUGGAUAUUGAUGUGUAUCUCCAACCCUUGAUAGAUGAUUUGAAAAUCUUAUGGGAGAGUGGAAUUGAAACUUAUGAUGCUUUUACGAAACAAAAUUUUUUCUUGCGUGCUUUCUUGUUGUGGACAAUUAAUGACUAUCCAGCUUAUGGUAUUUUAUCCGGUUGGAGCACUAAAGGUAAAUUAGCUUGUCCGAUUUGUCAUAUACAUACUUGUUCCAUUUACUUGAAACAUGGUCGAAAGCAAUGCUAUAUGGGUCAUCGUAGGUUCUUGGAAGUAAAUCAUCCAUUUCGUCGGAAUAAAAGUUCUUUUGAUAACACAAAGGAGGAAAGACUCGCACCACAAGCUUUGAGUGGAGAUGAUGCGCUUGCACAACUUAAUACAUCCUCACAAGUGUUAGUUGACGGCAGCACAAGAAAAAGAAAACGGGAUGCUAUAAGAUAUGACAAUUGGAAGAAGAAAAGUGUAUUCUUUGAACUCCCAUAUUGGAGGACUUUAUUGUUGAGACAUAAUUUGGAUGUGAUGCAUAUAGAGAAAAACAUCAGUGAAAGUGUGAUAGGGACGUUAUUAGAUAUUGAAGGAAAACCAAAGGACACAUUAAAAUCUCGAUUGGAUUUACAAGAGUUGAAAAUUAAAAAACCCCUUCAUACAAUAAAAAAUGAGAAUAAAUACAUACUUCCUCCAGCAAGCUAUACAAUGUCUAAAACCGAGAAGAUUCAAUUUUGCCAGCUAAUCAAAGAAGUCAAGUUUCCUGAUGCUUAUGCUUCUAACAUUAGUCGUUGUGUCAAUGUUAAGGAAGCAAGAAUUUUUGGACUUAAAAGUCAUGAUCACCAUGUUCUUUUUCAACGUAUUUUUCCACCUAUAAUCAAGGGGAUUUUGCCAAAGGAUGCAUAUGAUCCAUUAGUUGAACUAUCAUUAUUCUUUAGCGAUUUGUGCGCUAAAGAGUUGCAUGUGGAAAAGUUAGAUCAACUAGAUAAAAGUAUACGGAUGACAAUUUGUAAAUUAGAGCGUGUGUUUUUGCCAACAUUCUUUGAUGUUAUGGUUCAUUUGGCAAUACAUUUGGCAAUGGAGGCAAAAUUGGGUGGUCCCGUUCAAUUUCGAUGGAUGUAUUACAUUGAAAGGUUGGAUUCUUAUUCCUCUAAACUAUUCCUUUAGCUGCCCUUUUAGUUAAAAUUUGUUGCAAAACUGAUAUAUUUUUACGUCAUAGAUUUUUGCGCACCUUGAAAAGUUAUGUACGAAAUAAAGCCCACCCAGAAGGAUCAAUUGCUGAGGGAUAUCUUGCUGAGGAAUGCAUGACAUUUUGUUCCAAAUAUUUGACUGAUAUGGAGACAAAGCAAAAUCGUCCAGAUAGAAAUUUUGAUUCUUCAAAUAUAGAACCCAAUGGCUUAUCCAUAUUUAAUUGUCGUGGUAAGCCAUUAGCAGGGGGUGCUUGGAUAAACUUGAGCACUCAUGAAAUCAAUCAAGCUCAUUUUUACAUCCUCCAAAAUUGUGAGAAAGUCAGACCUUGGAUGGAGUAAGAUACCUUUCACUUAGUUUACAUCAUUUUAUUCUUAUGAAACUCUCAGCAACUCUGUUCUAAUGUUAUUUGUUUUGAUUUUUAUUAAAUGCUCAUAAUCCAUAGGCAACACUUAGAAAUAUUAAGGAAGGAGAAUAAUAGAAAUGUUUCAAGAGGCACAAGGAGGAAUUCCCUUUGUGGUUUGAGAAAAAGGUAAAUUAUAUCAUUUGAUGCUAGUUUACUUUUGUUUAGGAUAAUUUAUAAAUUAUAUUUUUUAAGUAGUAUUAAUGUUUGUGAGUUUGUAAUUGAAAUAUUAUAGGUGGUAGAGUUAAAAGAAAAUGGUAAUGGCCGAAUUACCAAUGGAUUACUAGCUUUGGCAAGACGUCCAGACCCUCGUGCUUAUUGCCAUAGUGGAUAUAUCAUGAAUGGGUUUAGGUUUCGAACAAUGGAAUCUGAGGUAGGUUUGAAAACUCAAAAUAGUGGUGUAGUUGUGAAGAGUGAUGAACAUACAGAAAAUGUUGAUUAUUAUGGAAAGAUAAGAAAGAUUUUAGAGAUCCAAUAUUUGGACAAUAAUUCAGUCAUAUUAUUCCAAUGUGAUUGGUUUGAUGUUCCUACUCAAGGUCGUAGUCAAAGUAGAGGUUAUAAAAGGGAUGAAUAUGGAUUCAUAUGUGUAGAUGUGACACGACUCCAUUAUAAAAAUGAUCCAUUCAUUUUAGGCUCACAAGCUCAAUCUGUGUAUUAUGUUAAACAUGAUCAAAAUGAGAAUUGGCAUGCUGUGGUAAGAGUAAGACCACGGAAUUUGUAUGAUUUACCCGAACAAGAAGAUGAAACGGAGCCGUACCAACUGAUUGACUUGGUUGAAAGAGGAGAAGCAGAUCUUCAAGUAGAGUCUGACAAUGAUGUCAUUAGAAUACAAAGAGAAGACAUUGAUGGAGUGAGUGUUGAUGCACCUUCUCUGAAUAACGAGGAAGAAGUAGACUUAGAAGCUAUUGAUGAAUUUGAUCAUGAAAAUGGAGAUGACUUCAGUGCAGAUGAAGAAUAUCUUUCUGAUAAAUUUGAUGAAAUUGAGGAUGAUGAUUGGCUGUAAUUUUCAACUAGUCUUCAAGAUAAUUUUGCUUAUUUCAAAUGCUUUCUUCACAGAAGUUCUAUUUCAAUCACCUUGCCGAAAUGGUUAAUUUCUAUUUUCUAUUUCUUCAAUUUCUUUAUCAUUUUUGCUUUUAAUUGAUUUGUUUCUCUCAGUUUCUGAAAAUAUAUUGUCUCUUUCUUAAAAUUUUACUUUCGUCAGUUAGUCUCCAAUAAUAUAAUUCCUUUUAAUAUGUGUUACAGCCUAUCAUGAUGACAGAUGCGCAUGUUUCUAAUAAUGAUGGAACUACUGAUGUAAUCUCAAAUCCAUCGUCAGGUAAGUAAAUUCAUUUGUUAAAAUCGAGCCCUAUAAAAUCUCUAGCUUAUAUAUGUUAUGUUUACUAUACAUCUAAGUAUUUUCAUAUAUAGAUAAAGGUAAAAAGAGAAAAGGAAGAGGGAAGACUACAUGGCUUUCAAUCCAAAAGAAACGCAAAGAUAGUGACAAUGGAAAGUUGAAGGUGAUUAUUCCAUCAGAUCGAACUGUAGCAGUAGGUCCUGGAGCUAAUGAUUUCGUUACCGAGCUCUCUGUUAAAGUUAUGCAUAAUGCUAGGCAUGAUGUCAAGAAUUGGAAGGAAGUUCCUGAUAUUGCAAAAGAUAGGAUUUGUGCCCAUAUGCUGGUAAUUCACUAUGUUCCCUUAGAAUUUUCUUGCUGGUCCAAUACACAUAAGAAAAUUCUCAAUAUAAGUAUACAAAUAAAGUAUACUGAUAAACCAACUUUAGAAAAGAUGACUCCGAACAUCCCUUGGUUCAUUGGCAGAAAAUUGAAAUUCUAUUUUAAGUAAGCUCACUUUAGUUUUUUUUUUGAAUUCAGGACACCUUCCAACUUCCAGACACACAACACAAUCGGGAUACUAUCCUUAAAACAGCUAAUAAUUUAUAUAGAUAUCGUCGUAGUAGGCUCAAUGAUCAUUUCAAGAAAUAUGCUACAAAGGAGGAUUGCUUGCAGAACAUGCCACCCGAUGUUAAUGAAGCUGAAUGGAGAUUCCUGGUUGAAUAUUUCGAUUCUGAUACUUUUAAGGUAAUUAAUUAGGAUACGCCAAAAUUAAAUUGAUUUAACAUUGCAAAUUAUUUAUUUUCUUGUUCUACUUCUUAUAGUUCAUCAAGAAAUAUAUUUACGAAUUCAAUUUAAUAUAGAGAAUGAGUGAGCAAAACAAAACCAAUAAGGGAAAACAAGAAAUGAAUCAUAUUUGCGGCAGAAAAUCCUUCCAGGCGGUAUCUUUUGAACAGGUAACAUAUGUCUUUAUUUUGAUGAAUUUUAGUUAUUUUUUAUUUAAUAACAUAAUUUGAUUGGUUUUAGUAGAGAAAUACAAGCACCGGAAAAGAGCCAAACUUGCAAAAACUUUGGGAAUUGACUCACAUGAAGAACGGACAUUGGAUUAAUGAUGCCUCUGCGGAAUUAAAUAUACGUGCGAAACUCUUAUCCUUAUUCCUAGAAUGUGAGUCCAUAGAAAUAAAUAUUGAAAGUUAGAGCCGGUAUAAAAAAUUUUGUAGGAUAAGGUGAAAGAAUAUGUUGCUGAACAAAUUCAAGAAAUUGAAGAGGAUACUGAUUUGGACUUGGUUGUUAAUGCUGCAUUUGUGAAAUUUGUUGGAGAAACAUCAAGUUAUUGCCGUGGUCAAGGAUCAGGAGUUAAGUCAACAAGUAGGAAAUCCAUGAAUGGAAUUCAAGAGAAACUGCAAGCACAACAAAAAGAGGUGGAAGAAGAACGUCGUAAAAGAGAGAGUGUAGAAUGCCAGCUAAAGGAAGUAAAGAUUCAGCUUGAGGAGGAGCGGAAAAGUCGAGAAGCCAUGGUGCGUGACCAAAAACUAUUGAAACAGAGCAUGAUGGCACUAGCAUCCCAUUUGCUAAGUAAUGAGGUAUUUCAAUUACUUGCUUUUGAUCCUAAGAAUAUUUCGCUCAAACUAAACAACAGUUAAAGUGAUAGCAUCACUUUAUGUGUUAAAGUCGUCACACAAAUAUAAAAUUCAUGUGUAAAAACUCAGUAUUAGACCUUGAAAUCAGCAAAAAUGUGAUGAGGAUAUGAUUGCAAGCCGGCACUUGUGCCAAAAGUUAGCACUAUUAUUUGCAUUGCUACUUUUACAGAGAAUAGUUUUUCAAACGAGUGGUAUAAAGCAAUAGAUUAUGAGAGGUAUUGCCUACAUGAUGAAUAACUCAGUAAAGGGGAAAAAAGAAAGAGGUCAGUUUUGGUUAUAAGUUUGUGAGUUUUAGAUUCACAAUCUUUUUAAUUUAUGUCCAUCUUCAACCAAUGAAAGUGAAGAUAUUGAGAAGUCUAUUCGGUUGGCUAAAUUGGAAAAUGCUGUAGGAGAUUCUAGGCAAAUUCUCUAUAAAGGGGACUCAAGAAAUCAGAAAGGUACUGUAUUUCUUAAAAAGAUUAUUCCGGCGAAUGAUUCUACACGCUCUGUGAGUGGGGGAAUAAAGAGCACAUAGCACCAAGAGGUUCCCAGCUCUGUAAAGGUUGAGGUUCACCAGCAGUAAAUGCAGAAUUAAACAAAAAGACAGAGAAAAUAAAAUACUUUGAUUACGGAAAAGAAGUUAUUAAAACAACCGAAUACAUAAAUUUCUCUUGUCGCACAAUCUCUGUUUCUUUCUUGUUCAUGUAUCAUUCCUCCCCACAGAUUUGUACGACAAAUUAAGUUAUGUAGUUUUACUAUGUUUAACAGAAUGGAGUUUCUGCUGGAAUUCUCAAUAUUAUUUCUAAUUUAAGUGGUUCAAAUGAGUCAAGUUGUUCAAGACUUAUGGAUGACAUAACGGUAAGAAAACUUCGUCUAACUCUUGUAAAAGUAAAUUCCUUGGUUGAUAUUAUUCACUAUCAUGUUUGCAUUAUAUUUCAAUCUAGUAUCUUGUCGUCGCCGCCACCACCAUUCAUAUCAUGAACUUAGCCUUCAGGUCUCACAAAUAAAUUAGUUGUUGGCUUUGUAAAAGUCACCUUUGGCUUUGUCUCAAACGCCACCUUUAUAUACAAAUUAAAAGGCAGUUGAAGAUUGAAUGUUAAAUUAUUUUGCAGAUAGAAAUGAUUCUCUAUAGGGUGGCUUUGUGGUCCCUGAGUAGAAUUUACACUGAUUAAUUUCCUUGAAGGUAGGAAUAUUUUCUUUAAUUAAAUUGGAUUACUAGGUUCAGAAAUUGAAUCCAAAGUGGAAAAAGAAGGAUUAGAUUUGUUAUUCUGAAUUGAUUAUGGUAGUUUAGAAGAAGACUUACCCCUGCAAAUGUCUAAAAUGUCAUUAAUCAUUAUCUUCUUCCAUUAUUUAUUAAUUUUCAUUUAACUAAGUUCAAAAAGGAAAGUUGCUUGAUCUUGGACAUUUGAAAGGUGAUGUGCGAGUUCUUUGGCUUUAUAGUUCUCUGUUGCAAUUUUUUUUUGAGGUUGUCCAUUUUUAUUUUUUUUAUGAGUUCUUGUUUACUGCUAUUAUUACAGCUUUCGGCAACACAAUUAACAUAAAAAAUUGUUGUAUAUGAAACUCCCUUGACCAAAAGGAGUUUACUGAUCUCAAAAGUCUUCUAUUAUCUUAAAAUUCAAGUUAUCUUUUCCUUUAGAUUCUAAACAUCAAUUAAUUAUAAUAACUAUCAUAAUAGUAUGUUCUGAUUAUUAGUAGAAGCAUAUAAAAUUCAUAUGCAACUAUAUUUUGUCCAUCAUGCUUAAUUUUGCUCCAAUCUAGUCACCAAUAUAUAUAUAUAUCAUUCAUUGGCGCCCGAAUUCUCUCUUAAGCUCCUAUAAUGUCUUCGGGAUCAAGUAAUUAUACGAAACAUUUCUUGCCUAACCGCUCAUAUGCCACCUCCUUUGGUAUUCAUCUUCUCAUCUUGCUUGUGUUUUUCUUUUUUUCUCUUACUAGCUUUAGCACUAUUUUUGUCAUGUUGAUUUAGUAUUAUUACUAAAUUCGCUCAUCUAUUUAUCAUUUAUUGCGUCUGUUGCUAGCCUUUUGUUCAAUGUCGCUACGAUCAUUGGUGUGUCUUAUUCUUAGUUUUUCCUAAUUUGGUUGACACGGAUAUGAAUGUCAUGGUAGUUUUUUUUCCUCCUUUUAUCUACCCAUCAAUAAAUUAUAUAUUUAUAUACAAAGAUAUGAUCAAUCUUUAACAAGUUGAGUAAAGAAGGCAUGAAAAUAUUCCUAGAGCUUCUUAUAGUUGCGACCUUCCCUUUCGUGAGAUUUACAUCUAAAUAUUUUAUUUGACUUUCAGGAGAAUUUGUAUCUUAAUAGAAUUUUGGCUGGACUUUUAUAAGAGUUUGUUAAUUCUGGAGGUUAUAAAUAGGAAAAUCAUCAGAUAAAAAAUAUGGGAAAAGCAGAAAUUUAGUGGGUAAGUAUGUCGGAAAAGGAUGUGUAACUGGCGGCCUGAUGGUAUAAAGAUAGUGAAGAGAUCAAAGUACGAGAUGGAUAUAAACUAUAAUUUUUUUGAGCCUCUGAGGAGGAGGUUAUUAAAAUGAAGCAGAUCUGUAGUUCGAAUGAAUUGGAGAAGCAAAGUGUUGUCUAUUUUAAAGUCAAUCUUGGAUCAGUUUAUUGAUAAAUUAGUUAGGAUUUUCGUGGAGAUCACAACUUUUCGUGGAGCCUUUAGUGAUCUUUCUGAUCGUUAAUUAUCAUUGGUAAAAUAAUUUCAACUUGCCUAUAACCUUUUCUGGAUGGAGUUCAAGGAAAAGGUUUGGAACAUUGGCAGUUUCAAACACCUAUAAGAAGUGUCAAUGGUGAAGGAGAAUAUAAGAAGUGUCAAUGGUGAAGGAGAAUAUAAGAAGUGUCAAUGGUGAAGGAGAAGAAGAAGUUAGGUUGUCGAAGAAAGUCUCAGUCAUUUGUAGUCACAAAAGUGGAUUUCUUUUGGUCCUGUCUUUCACAUUUUUCUUUUUUUGUAAAUUUUCUAUUCCUUUCUUUCAGAUUUUGGCAUGAUCUCCGUGUUUGGUUUUCGUUAACACAUCUGACAUUACAUUUUAACUUCUUUUAUUCAAGAUUCCAAAAUUUAUCUUCAUAUUAGAAUGAUGCAACAUGUGUGACACAAAGCACUCUUGAAGUAGUAAAUAAGUACUUAUAUGGAGGAAAAACUAUCAACUUUAAUAUAAACCUUAUGCCAAAAAAGAAGAUAAUUUAAAGGUGAAGAAGUACGCGUAAUUCUCUUAGGAGUAAGGAAAUGAAAUUUUCUUGAAACUUCUUUUAAAAAGAUCAAAGAGUUAAUUGAUUCAGAAAAUAUGUAUAUUUGGAAUCUGAUUCAUUUAUAGAACUAUAUAUAUUACGUCCGUAUGCACACAUAUAAUAUAUAUAAAAAAUUUAUCCUCUUUAACUCAGUUAAUUUUGUAAAAAAAAUUAUAUUAAGUAUAUUACUCCUAUCUCUUAUGACCGCGCGAAGCGCGGAUAUACUAACUAGUUAUUAUAUAAUCGCUAAUACAAGAUCCCGGUAUAUAUACUACGGAUAAAGGUUAGGUUUCAAUAGUCCAAGGAACUGUAUUAUUACUUCACUUCUGCUAUACUCUCUAAAGAAAGGUGCUACAUUUCUUUAUUUUUAUGCGAAUUUUUGAGGGCUUCCCAUGUGGGCUUCAAACUACGGGGAGUUUAGGCUCACCCCACUACCUCUCUCCCAACUAAAAUACCAGGUUUUGUUUGCGGUAGUUUUUGAACCGUGAGACAUGUGCCUUGCUUACACGUCACGUGCUUUGUCCUUACCACUGAACCAAAACCCCGAGAGCUAAGAAGAGGCUAUAUUUGUUGAGUUGAAUAAAUAGUUGUCACGACCCAAGCUAACCCCUGUCGUGAUGGCACCUAUCGUGGAACUAGGCAAGCCGACUCAUUUCCAAAACAAAUCGAUAUUUUCAUUUCAAAGAUAAUUUCAAUGUUAUUUAACAUAAAAACCUUCGUAAAGGAGUUCCAAUCAAAAUAAAAGUGCGGAAAGAAAAGCCCGGCAUCGGGGUGCUGUCACACCUCCUUUUUUCCGAGGGGGAUAGGGAGUUUUUCCAAUUUAAGUGACAUUAUUCGAAAUAAGAUUAUUUAUUCAAUUAGAGUCACCANNNNNNNNNNNNNNNNNNNNNNNNNNNNNNNNNNNNNNNNNNNNNNNNNNNNNNNNNNNNNNNNNNNNNNNNNNNNNNNNNNNNNNNNNNNNNNNNNNNNNNNNNNNNNNNNNNNNNNNNNNNNNNNNNNNNNNNNNNNNNNNNNNNNNNNNNNNNNNNNNNNNNNNCACCGGUUUAUUUUAAAUCCCAAAUCGAGGAAAUUUGACUCUUAUUUAUGGUCCGCGAACACAGAAGACCGGGUAAGAAAUUCUAUUAACCCGGGAGAAGAUGUGAGGCUCUCCCGAGUUCCGUGGUUUUAGCACGGCCGCUUCAACUAUUAUUAAUUUGCCUAAUUAUAUGAUUUGUUAUAUAUUUAAAACCUAUUUUGUAUUUUUACUUUUAGCCGCUUUUAAUUAUUUAUGGAAUUAUUUCUCGAACAAGUCACGAUGCCGUACACUUGUCGUUUUGGCACACGUCGCAAACCGCGCCACAUGAAAUGCACCCGCGAUUUACGACAUGCUUAUUUUUAUUAUUGUUAGAAGUUAUGGUCGGGUCACAUGAAAUGCACACCCGAAUGGAAUUUACGUAUCGUGACCAUGCCACGGGAACCAUACCUAUGGCCACGAUGAUUUAUUAAUCGCGCUUAAAGCAAACUACGCCGUUCAUGAUUAUCGUCCUAAACUAAUUUUGAGAUUGCUGUAAGGCCGGGAUUUAUGGAAUUAUGGAAUUUAAACUUGGAUGGAAUUUGAUGUAUUAAGACUAAUUUGAUAGAUUCCAACAUACUGCAGUAUUUGCGAAGGAAAGGUCUCCUAAAGAAUCUAAGUCAAUUACUUCCUUAAGCUCUUUCUUUACUAACGCUUAACUCCAAUCACUAAAAUUAAUAAAACUCAUGAGUUAAAAGAAAUCCAUCAACAUAAAUACGUAAAUUCACAACCUCAAACAUUCGUCAAAGUAUUUUUGGGAUAAAUUAAAAUACCAAAAAGAACAAUGAAACAGUAAAGGAAAAUUAUCGAAAAUCAAGACAACGGACCAACCAAAACGAGUAUAACAAUAUAACCCAAAACAUUGUCAAAACCAUAUCCUGAGAGAAAUGAAUAUAUGAAAUAACAAGCAAAAGAACAUAAUCACUCAGAAACCAAACUUAUUCGUAUUAGGCGAGUUAAAUCAAAUCAACAAUUUAUUUCAACUAAUUUUUAUGCAGAAUAUACAUGCGUGAAACCCCAUUUCAGAACGACCAUAAUUCCAGGCGUGAAAAAAAAAAACAAGAAAGAGAUAUGAACCUGAAUAUGCAGAAUUUCAAUUAAUUUUAUGUCCAGAAAUGAGACGUGCGAGUACAAAACCGAAUGCUCAGAAUACAAUUAUGAUUCAGCAACAGGGGCCGGAAUCCAGAAACUCGAUCGGCAAAUUAACCUUAGCUCAGCUAAAUCUCCAUCUCAAACAAAACCCUGAAGCAAGAAACAGAUUUUUUUUUCUUUUUUCGAAAUACAAGAAAACAACCAAAUCUAAACUGAAAUUUUCGCACUCCCUNNN
rnacentral:lncRNA from 1 species